UGCAUAUCCCAAAAAGCGGAGGAAAAGAAACCAACAGGGAUUGCCUCAGUAACGGCGAGUGAAGCGGCAACAGCUCAAAUUUGAAAUCUGGCCUCUUGGGGUCCGAGUUGUAAUUUGUAGAGGAUGUUUCGGGUACCGCCUCGGUUUAAAUUUCUUGGAACAGAAUGUCAAAGAGGGUGAGAAUCCCGUCUUGGACCGGCGGUAGGGCCUAUGUGAAACUCCUUCGACGAGUCGAGUUGUUUGGGAAUGCAGCUCAAAAUGGGUGGUAAAUUUCAUCUAAAGCUAAAUAUUGGCCAGAGACCGAUAGCGCACAAGUAGAGUGAUCGAAAGAUGAAAAGCACUUUGAAAAGAGAGUUAAACAGUAUGUGAAAUUGUUGAAAGGGAAGCGCUUGCAACCAGACUUGAGCGCGGCGGUUCCCCCUUGCUUCUGCUUGGGUUACUCCGCCGUGUCCAGGCCAACAUCGGUUCUGGGGGUCGGUCAAAGGCUCUGGGAAUGUAUCUACCCACGGGUAGACUUAUAGACCAGGGUGUCAUGCGACCUCCCGGGACCGAGGAACGCGCUUCGGCUUCCGGGUUGGCGUAAUGGUUGUCAGCGACCCGUCUUGACCACACGGACC
rnacentral:rRNA from 1 species